rnacentral:rRNA from 1 species
AUGGGGCGCGCCAAGACCAUCGACGAGCCUGAUCUACAGGAACUAUUGUCUCUUCGAGACGACAUGGGGCUCGUGCAGAAAGACCAGUCACAGAUGCAGGCGGAUAUGGCAAAACUGCAUGAUGAGGUACAGUCUAUCAGUUCCAAACAAGGGGAUAUAUCUGUGCAGAUGGGCAAUGUAGAGCAAGUGGUGAUGGACUUAGGCAAACAGCUCUCCACGAUCAAUUCAGUUUUGCAAGUAUUAGUGAAGGCACCAACAAAUGGAAGCACUACUGAAGUCCCAUCAAGCUCUCAACAGAGACCAAAUUCACCAACAACCUCUCAGGAACAGAUGCAAACUCAACUGUUGAGAACAGAGCAACUCAGGAAACAAUUGGAGGCUGAAAAGGAAAAGACCAGGCAAUUGGAAGAGCUGCAACAGCAGAAUCUGCCUCCUAUCAGAACCAGUAGACCAGCUGCUCCACCAGGGUUUGCACAGCAAGGAAGACCAGAGCACUUAAGUCCUUUGGGCACUCCAGUUACAGCCAGACAGUCCACUCACACCCCUAUUUUUAAGCAAUACUAUCAGCAAAAUAGAGAUAGGCAGUUGUGGCAGGGAUAUGCAAAGACCUAUGAACAGGAUAUGCAGUGUCAAUUCAUGAAAUCCUUGACCAAAGUGCCUAAAAUGGAUUUUCCUAGGUUUGAAGGAGAAGACCCAGUGGGUUGGAUCAGGCAAUGCAACAAAUAUUUCCAAAUGUCAGGGGCACCAGAAGAAUACAAGGUUUCCUUGGACCAAUUAUACAUCAUUGGGGAAGCAGAUGUAUGGCUGAGAAGAUCAGGUUUGCUGAAAAAGAAAGUUUCCUGGAAGGAAUUUUGCACAGAAAUCACUAAAUGA